rnacentral:tRNA from 1 species
GGUUGGAUAGCAUAGUGGUAAUGUCGUGGACUGCAAACCCAUCUACGGCGGUUCAAUUCCGCCUCCAGCCU